rnacentral:rRNA from 1 species
GACGAACGCUGGCGGCGUGCUUAACACAUGCAAGUCGAACGGAAAGGCCCUGCUUUUGUGGGGUGCUCGAGUGGCGAACGGGUGAGUAACACGUGAGUAACCUGUCCUUGACUUUGGGAUAACUUCAGUAAACUGGGGCUAAUACCGGAUAGGAGCUCCUGCUGCAUGGUGGGGGUUGGAAAGUUUCGGCGGUUGGGGAUGGACUCGCGGCUUAUCAGCUUGUUGGUGGGGUAGUGGCUUACCAAGGCUUUGACGGGUAGCCGGCCUGAGAGGGUGACCGGCCACAUUGGGACUGAGAUACGGCCCAGACUCCUACGGGAGGCAGCAGUGGGGAAUAUUGCACAAUGGGCGGAAGCCUGAUGCAGCAACGCCGCGUGCGGGAUGACGGCCUUCGGGUUGUAAACCGCUUUCGCCUGUGACGAAGCGUGAGUGACGGUAAUGGGUAAAGAAGCACCGGCUAACUACGUG